GAAAUGCGAUAAGUAAUGUGAAUUGCAGAAUUCAGUGAAUCAUCGAAUCUUUGAACGCACAUUGCGCCCGCCAGUAUUCUGGCGGGCAUGCCUGUCCGAGCGUCAUUUCAACCAUCAAGCCCCCGGGCUUGUGUUGGGGACCUGCGGCUGCCCGCAGGCCCUGAAAACCAGUGGCGGGCUCGCUGUCACACCGAGCGUAGUAGCAAUCACCUCGCUCAGGGCGUGCUGCGGGUUCCGGCCGUUAAACAGCCUUACAAACCCAAGGUUGACCUCGGAUCAGGUAGGAAGACCCGCUGAACUUAAGC
rnacentral:misc_RNA from 1 species